rnacentral:rRNA from 1 species
CCUACGGGAGGCAGCAGUAGGGAAUAUUGCUCAAUGGGGGAAACCCUGAAGCAGCAACGCAGCGUGGAGGAUGAAGGUUUUCGGAUUUUAAACCCCUUUUGUUAAAGAAGAUAAUGACGGUAUCUAACGAAUAAGCACCGGCUAACUCCGUGCCAGCAGCCGCGGUAAUACGGAGGAAGCAAGCGUUACUCGGAAUCACUGGGCGUAAAGAGCGCGUAGACGGGAUAGCAAGUCAGAUGUGAAAUUGUAUGGCUUAACCAUAGAACUGCAGUUGAAACUGUUAUUCUAGAGUAUAGGAGAGGUAGGUGGAAUUCUUGGUGUAGGGGUAAAAUCCGUAGAGAUCAAGAGGAAUACUCAUUGCGAAGGCGACCUACUAGAACAUAACUGACGCUGAUGCGCGAAAGCGUGGGGAGCAAACAGGAUUAGAUACCCCUGUAGUC